UGCCAAAGAUAAAAUUGAGAUGAUCAGUAUAAAAGCUAUCGUCCUGUCAGACAAGGGAAAGGAAAAAAAAAACACUUAAAAUAUCAAAACUAAUUCUAUCAUCUGAGGAGUAUCAGAAAAUGUCUAAAUGAAUCUAAUUAAAUCCGCCACCAACCCUCAUCAAUUAACAGCGACUGGGUUGGGUUAAAGAGAAUAGGCUAAUCAAACCCCACUUGCGGGUAUGAAUAACAUAAGCUCUGUCAAUAAUGAUAAGUUCAACACAUUUAUGAAAAUGUUUUGCCUCUACUCUUCCUUCUGCUUUGUAGGACUCCUUCCACUUCUAAUACCACUUGUGCACCUUCCAAUAAACUUCAAAAUCUCAUCGAUCAAUAUUACGGGUAAUGCAACAGCCAAUACUAAUAGCCACUCGUUUAGGCUCAGUGGAACGAUACCAAAUAUUUGAGCAAGGAAAGGCACGUAGAGGAUCAAAAAGUGCAGCCCAAAUGAGACCGACAUGGCUAAAAGAAGCCAUGGGUUGACCCAUGGUGGCAUUGACAAGAGGCUUCCAUCUUCCGAAAGGGCAUUAAGGGAGUUGAACAUCUCAAUUGCAACCAAUACAGAGAGGGAAAGGGUCAUGGCUUUGACCUUGCCUUCCACAAAGUAAUCGCACGGGUUAUCAAACCUGAUCACUUCUGAUCCGGCAGUGUAAGGUGACGCGGUGAAAUUGUUCCAGGUUUUGCACUGACCCCAAUUAGCAAGCUGGGAAUAGGUGACAAGACUGUGCCCAUCUUUACUUAAAUCAAUGCCAAGGAAGGAGUCAUGAGUGAACCAGAUGAUAAAAAUACCCACAGUUGCUACACCAACAUACAACCCAAUUACCAGAUAGCGAAAUAAAAUCCAUGCACUGAUCAAUGAAUCAUCACUUCUCCUUGGUUGUUUCUUCAUUAUAUCUUUAUCCGGUGGAUUAAAUCCCAAUGCUGUAGCAGGUGGUCCAUCAGUGACCAGGUUGACCCACAGAAGCUGAACUGGAAUAAGACCUUCAGGAAUGCCUAGGGCAGCAGUAAGGAAAAUAGAGGCGACCUCACCAAUGUUGGAGGAAAUCAUGUACCUGAUGAAAGCCUUCAUAUUGUUAUAAAUGGACCUGCCUUCACCCACAGCAGCUACAAUUGUACUAAAAUUAUCAUCUGCCAAAACCAUGUCAGAUGCUUCCUUUGCCACCUCAGUUCCAGCGAUUCCCAUUGCAAUCCCAAUAUCAGCCAAUUUUAAAGCAGGUGCAUCAUUCACUCCAUCCCCAGUCAUUGCAACCACCUCACCAUCAUCUUUAAGCAAUCUCACUAUAUCUUGUUUAUGCCUUGGCUCAGCUCUGGAGAAUAGGAGACCUCCACUUUGCCUUAUAUGUGCUUUGGGGUUAGCGAGCUCCAUAAAUUCUUUUCCAGUUAAGCUCCUCGACUUGAUAUCUUCAUGGCUUCCAAAGACACCUAUCUCACGGCAGAUAGCUUCUGCUGUAUUCUUGUUAUCUCCUGUAAUAACCAUAACUCGAAUGCCAGCUUCUCUGCAAUCCUCAAUUGCACGACGUACCUCUUUUCUAGGAGGAUCCCUUAUCCCAGCCAAGCCAACAAAUAUGAGUUUACUCUCAAUGGAAGGGUAAUUAGCAGGAUUGAGUAAAAGCUGAUGGGCUGGAUGGUCUUCAUCACCAUUAUAGGUUGCAAGUUCCUGUAGAUCCUCCUUGUAUGCAAAACCAAGGACACGUAAAGCUUUCGAGGACAUUUCAUGAAGGCUUUGCAAUAUAUGAUUUCUGGAAGAAUUAUCCAAUUCUACAACAGAACCGUCUUGCAGUUGCACAUAGGAGCUUCUUUCCAAUAGAUUUUCAACCGCACCCUUCACAAGUAAUGACUUUUUUCCAGAGGUGGAAGAUGUAAUGACACCCAUGGAUUUCCUAUCACGGUCAAAUUCAAGAGUACCAAUACGCUUUUCAAUAUUGUUCCAUGUGUAAGAGCAACGGAGGCCAUCUUUAUCACUUGAAGAGGAUAUGGAGCUGAUUCCAUCAGGAAGUCCCAUUUUCUCGACCAGAACCUUAAGUGCUGCUUCAGUGGGCAGUCCGCUGGCAACAUAGUGCUGACCAGAUUUUUCAACUCCAGAAUCAUUGCAGACAGCAGCAAUUUUUGCUAUCAUUUCUAGGUUAGAGUCCAUACGACCCAUUGACCAAUCUUGUAUCUUUCCAUCACAGGGAUCAUAUGAGGUCCCUUCAACAUUGAAUGAUCGCAAUGUGUUAGCCUUGGCACCCAUAGCGACAAGCUUAGACACAGCCAUCUGAUUAGUUGUCAAUGUUCCUGUUUUGUCUGAGCAAAUAACAGUGGUACAACCAAGAGUUUCUACACUAGGCAAUUUUCGAACAAGUGCAUUCUUAGCAGCCAUCUUCCGUGUGCCAAGUGCCAAACAAGUUGUAAUAACUGCUGGCAGACCUUCCGGAAUGGCAGCAACUGCCAGUGCCACUGCAAUUUCAAAAUAAUAAGUGCACUUCUCAAAUGAAAACUUAAAAUUCCUGGGCCACCCAUCAACAAACUCCCAAGUGAGGAAAUAUUUCACGUUGAUCAGCCAAACCAACGCGCAGAUGAUACCAAUUAUGACAGUCAAAGCUUCUCCAAACUCAUUUAGCUUUUUCUUCAACGGGGUAUCUUCCUCUUCUUGUGCUGCUUCCUGAAUCUGUGCGUGCACCUUCCCUAUCUCGGUAUCCAUCCCUAUUUGAGUUACCAAACAAAUACAAUUUCCAUUCACCACAGUCGUUCCAGCAAAUACCAUACAUUUCUUCCCUUGGAUAUCAACAUCCUCCGCUACAGCUUUAGUGGUCUUACUAACUGCUUCACUCUCACCAGUCAGUGAUCCCUGUUCAAGUCGGAGAGUCGAACUGAUCAGACGCAGAACCCUCAUAUCAGCUGGUACUUUAUCUCCAACUUUCAACUCAACAAUAUCCCCAGGUACAAGCUCUUUAGCAGGUAAACUAGAAAAUCUUUUACCAUCACGUAUAACACAUGCAGUCUCUGACUGGAUUUCCUUCAAUGCCUCCAAAGCCUUUUCGGCAUUACUCUCUUGCCACACACCAACAGCAGCAUUGACAAUUAAGAUUAAGAAAAUCACUAAAGGCUCCACGAAAGCUGUGAUCUCCUUCUCACCACCUUCCUCUCCAUCUAACCAAGCCAAAACAAACGAAAUCACCGCAGCACCAAGCAAAAUCCUAACUAACGUAUCAUUAAACUGAUCUAAAAUCAACCUCAAAAUCGACUGCCCUUCAUGCUUCUCCAAUUCAUUUAAACCAUAGAUCUGCCUCCUUUUAACAACCUCAUCCUCAGUUAAUCCAUAAUCUCUUUUCACCUCAAACUUCUCCUCACACUCCUUCACAUCUUUCGACCAGGCCGGAAACACCUCCUUAUCCGACACACUCUUACCACCUAAAUUCUCCCUUUUCCCAUAAUUUUCACCUCCUUUUCCCAUUUAAAACCUCCAGAAUCAACCAAAUCUAAUUAAAAAACCAGUCAAAAUCUCCUACUAUGAUAAUAACUCUCCAGAGAAGUGGAGAUUCGUUCGUCGUGUUGGAGAAGAAGAAUACGAGAGAAGGAAAGUAAUUCGUCUGCAGCGGAACUUUGGAUAGUUAUUGUGCGUCUCUCCCUCUAUCUCUCUAUCUCUCUCGGGAAACUGUAGAGUGAGAGAAUCGAAAAAUAAAGAGAUCUCUG
rnacentral:misc_RNA from 1 species